rnacentral:rRNA from 1 species
CAUUGCUCGUUGUAUUUUUUAAUAAGKWAGGCCUGCCCAGUGAUUUUCUUUCAACGGCCGCAGAAUUUUAACUGUGCUAAGGUAGCAUAAUAAUUUGUUGUUUUAAUGGCAACUAGUAUGAAUGGCUAAACGAUUCUUAACUGUAUCAUUUAUAUUUAAUAUAAAUUAUCAUAAAAGUAAAAAGACUUUUAUAAAAAUAAAAGACAAAAAGACCCUAUAGAGUUUAAAUUUUAAAAAUUAAAACAAUAUUAAUAAAAUUUUAGUUGGGGCAACUAGAAAAAUUAUUUUUCAAUAUUUUAAAAACAAUUUUUAUCAUUAAUAUUAAUAAUACUAAAAAAUUACCUUAGGGAUAACAGAAUAAUUUUUCUUUUAGAGUUCAUAUCGACAAGAAAAUUUAUGACCUCGAUGUUGGAUUAAGAUUGCUUUAAAUAGCAAAAUAUUUAUAAGCUAGUC